AGGCGAUGAAGGGCGUGCUAAUCUGCGAUAAGCGCCGGUAAGGUGAUAUGAACCGUUAUAACCGGCGAUACCCGAAUGGGGAAACCCAGUGUGACUCGUCACACUAUCAUUAACUGAAUCCAUAGGUUAAUGAGGCGAACCGGGGGAACUGAAACAUCUAAGUACCCCGAGGAAAAGAAAUCAACCGAGAUUCCCCCAGUAGCGGCGAGCGAACGGGGAGGAGCCCAGAGCCUGAAUCAGCAUGUGUGUUAGUGGAAGCGUCUGGAAAGGCGCGCGAUACAGGGUGACAGCCCCGUACACAAAAGCGCAUGUGCUGUGAGCUCGAUGAGUAGGGCGGGACACGUGGUAUCCUGUCUGAAUAUGGGGGGACCAUCCUCCAAGGCUAAAUACUCCUGACUGACCGAUAGUGAACCAGUACCGUGAGGGAAAGGCGAAAAGAACCCCGGCGAGGGGAGUGAAAAAGAACCUGAAACCGUGUACGUACAAGCAGUGGGAGCCCCACCACCAAAGCAUUUGCUGUACCGCGUUGACGGAGCGAAGCGACGUCAAACCGAUAAAACAGCAGUGUAAAGUGAGCCGCAGGGCGCUUUGCGCGACAGCGCAAAGGCAGGCGGUUUCGCGUAGCGAAAGCGAAUGCUUUGGGGUGGGGUGACUGCGUACCUUUUGUAUAAUGGGUCAGCGACUUAUAUUCUGUAGCAAGGUUAACCGAAUAGGGGAGCCGGAGGGAAACCGAGUCUUAAUUGGGCGUUAAGUUGCAGGGUAUAGACCCGAAACCCGGUGAUCUAGCCAUGGGCAGGUUGAAGGUUGGGUAACACUAACUGGAGGACCGAACCGACUAAUGUUGAAAAAUUAGCGGAUGACCUGUGGCUGGGGGUGAAAGGCCAAUCAAACCGGGAGAUAGCUGGUUCUCCCCGAAAGCUAUUUAGGUAGCGCCUCGUGAAUUCAUCUCCGGGGGUAGAGCACUGUUUCGGCUAGGGGGCCAUCCCGGCUUACCAACCCGAUGCAAACUGCGAAUACCGGAGAAUGUUAUCACGGGAGACACACGGCGGGUGCUAACGUCCGUCGUGAAGAGGGAAACAACCCAGACCGCCAGCUAAGGUCCCAAAGUCAUGGUUAAGUGGGAAACGAUGUGGGAAGGCCCAGACAGCCAGGAUGUUGGCUUAGAAGCAGCCAUCAUUUAAAGAAAGCGUAAUAGCUCACUGGUCGAGUCGGCCUGCGCGGAAGAUGUAACGGGGCUAAACCAUGCACCGAAGCUGCGGCAGCGACACUGUGUGUUGUUGGGUA
rnacentral:rRNA from 2 species